rnacentral:tRNA from 1 species
GUUGUGGCUCAGUGGUAGAGCACUUGCCUCCCAUGUAAGAGGCACUGGGUUCAAUCCUCAGCACUACG